rnacentral:rRNA from 1 species
UACGUAGGGGUGCAAGCGUUGUCCGGAAUUAUUGGGCGUAAAGAGCUCGUAGGCGGUCCGUCACGUCGCUGGUGAAAACCCUGGGGCUCAACCCCGGGCCUGCAGCCGAUACGGGCGGACUAGAAUUCGGUAGGGGAGACUGGAAUUCCUGGUGUAGCGGUGAAAUGCGCAGAUAUCAGGAGGAACACCCGGUGGCGAAGGCGGGUCUCUGGGCCGAUACUGACGCUGAGGAGCGAAAGCGUGGGGGAGCGAACAGG